ACGCGCUUGUUCUUAAAUGCAUAAUAGCUAAAUUCUCUAAAACAGCAACACUUCUCCAAGACAAAACAUCGAAUCAUUUACUCAGGAAUGAUGAAUAAAGUCAAAGUGAUCAUGUCGAUAUUUAUUGUUUUGAUGAUGACUCCGCCAAGUCAUGGCGGAGGUUUUAGAAGUUUCUCUUACGACUGUAAGGAUGAAUCUUGCAGAAAACCUAUUGAAGCUUGUAAGGAAGGCACCGGAACAUGCUAUGCUAUUUGCUCCAAGUGUAAAAAUAAAUGUUGCAGACAACUUAAAAUUUGUGGAUAUUGUUCCUACCCUUUCACGGAUAUAAUACAAAUUCCAAAAGAAUAUUGUUCCUGCAAGUCAGGCGUUUUCAACUGGAAAAAAGCCACUUAUCUCCUCUCCUGAGACGGGAUGAAUUCAAGUUACAAGAUUAUCUACUGUAAAAAUUAUUUAUAUCUCGCACGUUGUUUAUUUAUGUUAGAAGUUUACAACAAUUACUUAAACACAAAUUAUGUUAUGUUUGUUUCAAUAGUUUAUGACUGAGUAAUGUCAAUGAAUAGUAAUUAGUUCGUACGAGAUUAAAUAAAUUAGUAUGCAAAUAUGGAA